UUUGAUGCACCCAAGGUCAACUGCUACCGGCUCUUGCACGUCCCGGCCGAUAUUGAUUAGCUCUCACUCCCAAACGCCGCGAACUGGCCUCGCCGCCGCGACUAGUACCUAGUGCAUGUUUUCUUGAAGCUGAUCGGAACGUGUAGUUCUGUUGCGUCCUGCCGAAAGUCUGAACGUGUAGUCGCCGGAAGUACUGUAGCUUGCCGAAAAUCCUCGCCGGAAAAAUAAGGCACCUGUACCUAGUGCAUGUUUUCUUGAAGCUGAUCGGAACGUGUAGUUCUGUUGCGUCCUGCCGAAAGUCUGAACGUGUAGUCGCCGGAAGUACUGUAGCUUGCCGAAAAUCCUCGCUGGAAAAAUAAGGCACCUGUCCAAGAAAACAGAACACACCCACACACACCCACAACAAGCGGAAGAGAGAAUAGGAAGAAAAGAGCAGGGGACGCCGGAAAAAUCGCCACACACAAUUCAAAUUGCAAAAAUAUUCAAGUUAUCCACGACCUAGACUAAUUGAUAAAACGAAGGGAACAAAACAUCUUUCUUAACAAAAGCACAAAAAUGGAGUACAAAAUUAAUUAGUUCAAAAUAUCAGCAGCACUCCAAUGUUCAAAUAAGCACAAGUGAAAAAAUCACAAAGUUCGACACCCAGAUUUCAAAAUGACUUAAUGGUAAAGCAACUUAAGAAUAAAGCAAUGAGCAAAUAAAUAUAUUUUGGAACUUAAUAUUCUUAAAUGCAGAAAGUUUUAAAAUAGCCAAUUUCCACAGAAGAAGAUAAAAACACCAAUUGAAGCACACCGGAAAACUGAAUUCUAAAUAGAAACUAAGAAGUUACCGAGAGAAGAGCAGAAUCAAGCCGUAGUUGAGCUGAAGGAGUGAAGACAGAUUGAAUUAAAGAGCUUUUCGCACAAGAAGGGGAUUUGCUGCACCGUUAUUUGAUCUCUCAAGGGUUCAAAUAUAACGCCGUUAAGAAACGCUAACCCAGUUAAACCAGCAAGUCAAAGCAAUGGGCAAUAAGUGUAUGUGUGUGUCUCUCUCAGCGUGUGUGUGUGUAGAGAGAGAGAGACUGUGACAAAGAGCGAGAUGAAGGGGUGACGGAGAAGAUCGCCGGAGAAGAGAUCGACGGAGGUGCAAUCAAUCAACUACAACAACAACAAAAACAACACCAACAAACCCAGUGUAAUUCCAUAAAUGGGGUCUGGUGAGGAUAGUGUAUAUACAAACCUUACCCUACCUUAUAAAGAUAGAGACAUUAUUUCCGAUAGACCCACUACUCAAGGAACAAUAGAGAUAGAAUAAAGCAACCAAGUAGCAAAAAAUGGCGACAACAACGAAAUAUGGUGACGAGCGUGAAUAACGCAAUAUGUAAUAAUAAAGAACCAUGAAUAAGACAAUUAAUCAAUCAACUACUCUUCAAUAAUCUCAAAUUAAGAUCAGCUAUAUAAAUCCUCUAUUAAUUCUGCUGUACUCCAAAAUGAGCAGGAAAAAGUAUUAACAUGCUAAAUAACUAUAAGGCCAAAGGACUAAAGGAGAAUCUGAGUAGCCCAGCUAAUUUGAACUUUCACCUUGUCGGUGAGGGUUCGAUUCCCUUCUUGUAAUCCCCUGCCAUUUCCCUCUCUCCUACCCCCAAUAUGAUAAAAAUAAAGUUAAAUGAUACCUUACUAAAAAAAUUACAGAAAAGGCCAGAGAAUACUAACUUCGAUUAAAGAAAUUUAAUUAAAAAAAAAUUAGUCAUACUUACCGAAUAAAAGAGUCUCCAUUUGAGGAGGAGGAAGAAGAUUCGUUGAGGUUAGGGGUAGAAAAGUAAAUUCCUUCGCUGCCACCAUGGACUACGAAUGCAUUGCCCUUGCUUACGAAUUUCUCAGCGGUGUAGUCAUGCACUGAAGCUUGUGUAAACUGAAGUGAGCAUAGGAGUACAACAAUGGCUGAUGGUCCGAAUAAGUUAAAGGACGACAUUGCCCCUACGAGAGUUCAAAUACAAGUUCAGCUCACCGUAGAAAGAACAGUAGAUCUGCUGCUACUAUGAAUUGGAGGUGGACGAAGAGGACCCACGGAGAGUGGGACCUACUAAUAUUAAAGUGGAUUUAAGGUACGUUGAUAUUUUAACAUUAAUUCUUCUGGUCCAAAAUAAGUGUUUUUUGGUAUUUUCCUUUUGGUUCAAAAUAAGUGAUUUUUUCGAG
rnacentral:lncRNA from 1 species